GCCGAAAUAGCUCAGUUGGGAGAGCGUUAGACUGAAGAUCUAAAGGUCCCCCGAUCCCCGGGGUUUUGGCA